UACGUAGGGUGCAAGCGUUAAUCGGAAUUACUGGGCGUAAAGCGUGCGCAGGCGGUUUUGUAAGUCAGAUGUGAAAUCCCCGGGCUUAACCUGGGAACUGCGUUUGAAACUACAAGGCUAGAGUGUGGCAGAGGGGGGUGGAAUUCCACGUGUAGCAGUGAAAUGCGUAGAGAUGUGGAGGAACACCGAUGGCGAAGGCAGCCCCCCUGGGUCAAGACUGACGCUCAUGCACGAAAGCGUGGGGAGCAAACAGG
rnacentral:rRNA from 1 species